CUGAAUGCAUCAAACCACGAAUAUAGUAUCCCAACUAAUGCGUGGAAGGAUAAACUUACUGACCUAUAUAAAGCAAUUAGGACAAGAGAUAAAUUAUUUGUGGUCAUGACAGUAAUGCAGUUGAUUUGUAUAUCAGUGGCAGUUGCAUUCAUUGUUCUGCAUUUCAAAGGAGAACAUGGACAAAAGGGACAACAGGGAAGACUGGGAGAAUCAGGAAAAAAAUGGACUUGUUCGGAUGGAUGGGAACAGUUUAUGGGCAGUUGCUAUUACUUUCAAUUCGGAUCA